UACGGAGGGUGCGAGCGUUACUCGGAAUCACUGGGCGUAAAGGGCGCGUAGGCGGCCGGGCAAGUCUGGUGUGAAAGCCCAGGGCUCAACCCUGGAAGGGCACUGGAAACUGUCUGGCUUGAGUUCCGGAGAGGAGGGGGGAAUUCCCGGUGUAGCGGUGAAAUGCGUAGAGAUCAGGAGGAACACCAGUAGCGAAGGCGGCCAUCUGGCUGAUAACUGACGCUGAGGUGCGAGAGCGUGGGGAGCAAACAGG
rnacentral:rRNA from 1 species